UAAAGAAUUUCGGUCAUCGAUGGGGAUGCGUUCCAUUAGCUUGUUGGCGGGGUAACGGCCCACCAAGGCAUCGAUGGAUAGGGGUUCUGAGAGGAAGGUCCCCCACAUUGGAACUGAGACACGGUCCAAACUCCUACGGGAGGCAGCAGUGAGGAAUAUUGGUCAAUGGGCGCUAGCCUGAACCAGCCAAGUAGCGUGAAGGAUGACUGCCCUAUGGGUUGUAAACUUCUUUUAUAUGGGAAUAAAGUGCAGUAUGUAUACUGCUUUGCAUGUACCUUAUGAAUAAGGAUCGGCUAACUCCGUGCCAGCAGCCGCGGUAAUACGGAGGAUCCGAGCGUUAUCCGGAUUUAUUGGGUUUAAAGGGAGCGUAGGCGGGUUGUUAAGUCAGUUGUGAAAGUUUGCGGCUCAACCGUAAAAUUGCAGUUGAUACUGGCAUCCUUGAGUACAGUAGAGGUAGGCGGAAUUCGUGGUGUAGCGGUGAAAUGCUUAGAUAUCACGAAGAACUCCGAUUGCGAAGGCAGCCUGCUGGACUGUAACUGACGCUGAUGCUCGAAAGUGUGGGUAUCAAACAGGAUUAGAUAUCCUGGUAGUCCACACAGUAAACGAUGAAUACUCGCUGUUUGCGAUAUACAGUAA
rnacentral:rRNA from 1 species